UAUGGCAAGGAGGCUGCAGACCAUCCUCUCCUGCCACUUGGACCUGCGAUCCCUGCCUUUGA
ensembl:miRNA gga-mir-12251 gga-mir-12251